rnacentral:rRNA from 1 species
GACGAACGCUGGCGGCGUGCUUAACACAUGCAAGUCGAACGAUGAUCCCCCGCUUGCGGGGGUUGUUAGUGUCGAACGGGUGAGUAAUACGUGAGUAACCUCCCCUUUACUCUGUGAUAAGCCUUGGAAACCGUGUCUAAUACUGGAUACUACUUCCUGCCGCAUGUUGUGGGGUGUAAAGGGUUUUACUGGUUUUGGAUGGGCUCACGGCCUAUCAGCUUGUUGGUGGAGUAAUGGCUCACCAAGGCGACGACGGGUAGCCGGCCUGAGAGGGUGACCGGGCAAACUGGGGCUGAGGGACAGACCAGGCCCCUACGGGUGGACGGCGGGGGGAAGAAUGGCAAAGGGGGGGGAGCCCGAUGCCGAGAAGGCGGGGGGGGGAUGACGGGCUUGGGGUUGGAAAACUGUUUCAGCAGGGAAGAAGGCACAAGUGACGGUAACUGCAGAAGAAGCGCCGGCUAACUACGUG